rnacentral:pre_miRNA from 8 species
UGAUGCUUUGCUGGCUGGUGCAGUGCCUGAGGGAGUAAGAGCCCUGUUGUUGUAAGAUAGUGUCCUACUCCCUCAGGCACAUCUCCAGCAAGUUCCU